AUUUGGGGGAAUGAAGUUAUAUAUUGAAAUAUAAAUAUAUACGCAUCGACUAUGUCGUAUAAAGUUCUAAAUAGAAGAUUGAUUAUGACAGAUUUCUAUUUAUGUGUCUCGACCAAUUCUUGUGCCAGCAGUCGCGGCAACACAAGCGAGACUAGUGUUAUUCAUCUUUAUUAGGUUUAAAGGGUACCUAGACGGUAUUUUCAGCCUGUGCAGGGUACAAAAAUACUAGAGUUUUAUUUGAGAGGUAAAUAUUAGGACUAUUGGUGUAAAGAUGAAAUUUUUUGAUACUAAUGGGACGGAUAACGGCGAAGGCAAUCCUCUAUAUAUGAACUGACGUUAAGGGACGAAGGCUUGGGGAGCGAAUAGGAUUAGAUACCCUAGUAGUCCAGGCAGAAAAUUAUGAAUGUUAUAGACCAAGAAAAAAUUGGUGUAUAAAUGAAAGUGUAAGCAUUCCACCUCAAGAGUAAUGUGGCAACGCAGGAACUGAAAUCAU
rnacentral:rRNA from 1 species